rnacentral:rRNA from 1 species
GAACGGGGUUAUAACGGGUGCUUGCACCUGGUAUAACCUAGUGGCGGACGGGUGAGUAACACGUGGAUAAUCUGCCCGAGACUGUGGGAUAACAACCAGAAAUGGUUGCUAAUACCGCAUAAGCACACACCAUGGCAUCAUGGAGUGUGAAAAGAUUUAUCGGUUUCGGAGGAGUCCGCGUAAGAUUAGCUAGUUGGUGGGGUAACGGCCUACCAAGGCGACGAUCUUUAGCCGACCUGAGAGGGUGAUCGGCCACACUGGGACUGAGACACGGCCCAUACUCCUACGGGAGGCAGCAGUGAGGGAUAUUGCACAAUGGGCGAAAGCCUGAUGCAGCAACGCCGCGUGAAGGAAGAAGGUUCUCGGAUCGUAAACUUCUAUCGAUGGGGACGAAAAAAAUGACGGUACCCAAGUAAGAAGCCCCGGCUAACUACGUGCCAGCAGCCGCGGUAAU